UGUAUAAUGGGUCAGCGACUUAUAUUCUGUAGCAAGGUUAACCGAAUAGGGGAGCCGAAGGGAAACCGAGUCUUAACUGGGCGUUAAGUUGCAGGGUAUAGACCCGAAACCCGGUGAUCUAGCCAUGGGCAGGUUGAAGGUUGGGUAACACUAACUGGAGGACCGAACCGACUAAUGUUGAAAAAUUAGCGGAUGACUUGUGGCUGGGGGUGAAAGGCCAAUCAAACCGGGAGAUAGCUGGUUCUCCCCGAAAGCUAUUUAGGUAGCGCCUCGUGAAUUCAUCUCCGGGGGUAGAGCACUGUUUCGGCAAGGGGGUCAUCCCGACUUACCAACCCGAUGCAAACUGCGAAUACCGGAGAAUGUUAUCACGGGAGACACACGGCGGGUGCUAACGUCCGUCGUGAAGAGGGAAACAACCCAGACCGCCAGCUAAGGUCCCAAAGUCAUGGUUAAGUGGGAAACGAUGUGGGAAGGCCCAGACAGCCAGGAUGUUGGCUUAGAAGCAGCCAUCAUUUAAAGAAAGCGUAAUAGCUCACUGGUCGAGUCGGCCUGCGCGGAAGAUGUAACGGGGCUAAACCAUGCACCGAAGCUGCGGCAGCGACGCUUAUGC
rnacentral:rRNA from 1 species